rnacentral:lncRNA from 1 species
UUUUUAAUUCUUCUAUUAGCUAUUCUCUCCCACUAGGGGUGGGAGAAAAAUUGACGACUCUCUGGACCCAUAUGAAGUUAUCAACAAUGACAGGUGAAGACACUCAAGGACCAUAUUUUCAAAAAGGUCUCCUUCUAAGAUUUGUAUUUUUCCUAAAGAUCUAGGAGAGAGAAAAAAAUUGUCUUUGAAAGACAUCUUACCUUAAAUCGUCCAAAAACUUUUUAUCAUAGGAGAGAGAAAAAAAUUGUCUAAUUGCUAUAAAAUAUUUAUUGAGAUGAUCAUAAAGUUUGUUAAUAGUACUAAAGUAUUUUUUUUUUUAAUAUUUACCAAAACCAUCCAUCAUAUUAUAUAUAUAUUUUUAGAUCUCAUUAUUUAUAUCCUAAUUUUUUUUAUUUAUGACUUUAUAUAUUCAUUUUAAUAAUUUGUGAAAAUUUUUGCACGAUAUAGAGAAGAAUAGUUAUAUUCAUCUUUUUAAAUACAAGAAGAUCGUCCAUUUUUAUGAUCUUUAUUUUAGGUCAAGGUGAAUUUGUGUACCUUCAAAUUUUGAGAUAAACCAUUCUCCUUGUGAUUCAUCCUCCUAAUGAUUCAAUUUUCCAUGCCAUCAUUUUAUAUUUUUUUAAAUAAUUUAAAUUUUAUCCUACAUAUUCAACUAUUAUAAAUAACAUAUCUUUAACAUUGGUAAGAUCGGAGCCCACAUCAUUUCGGAUAAGAAGAGGAUUUGUGGCUGGGAAAUAUCCAAUUGUUUGUUGCUGAGGACGUUUCUGCACAUAAUAAGACAAUGUGAACAACAUGCAUGUCAGAGAUAAAGUGAAUGUCUAAAAGACGUUCUUGUUUUCCAUAUUGAUUUUGAUUUGGUUUUUUCUUUUCUUACCUACCACAUUUUAAAUUAAUUUUUUCAGCAAUCAUAACAUUCAAGGGUUCCUACUUUUGUUCAAAAGAUAUGUGUCCUUGUUGUCAAUGUAUUGAUUAGUAUUUUGAAAUUUACUUGAUUAAUUGUGAGCUCAUACGUAACCAGUUCCGUAAAAUUUUAAAAAAAAGUUUUUAAAUUGAAUAAAUUUUAUUAAAGAAAUAUUAAUUUAAUAUUUAUAGGAAGUUAUUUUUUAUUUUAUGAUAUUUUUAUUAGUAGUACAUUUUCAAAAUCAUAAAUCUGACUUUGACUUCAAUUUGAAGCAAAAUCCAAAACAAAAUGAAAGACUACUUGUUGCAAGAGCUUAAUCAACACAUUAUCAUUUUUUUAGUAAACAAAUAUUACAUUUAGGUUAACAUAAUUAGAAUUACAACUGAAAAUCUUUCUUGUUUAAAAUAAAUUAAUUAAUCUCUUCAAAGUCUCAAAUGAACUACAAAAAAAAUUAAUUUUAUAAAAAAUAAUAUGGUAUAUUAUUAAAUUUUAUUAUUUAAUAAAUUGAAAUGUACAUGACUAUACCCCAUUAUUUUGAAUUCAUGAUUUAUUAAGAAUCGAAAAUUUUUGGAUUUUUUUAUGCUAUAUUUAAAAAGUGUAUAUCAUAAUGGGCAAUAUCGGUAAAAUAUUUUUUAUUUUUUCAAUAUUUUUUUAUAUGAAUAAUUCUAAAUUAUGAAAAAAUUCAUCAAUAGUAUAAUUAAACGUGGAAGACAACCGUCAAUCGGAACUUUGGGAGUAAUUUUAGAAAGGGCAUGGAACAUCUCCAAGAUUAGACCGUUAGGAAGAGAAUUUGAAGUUGCUAACUGCCCGUUUGCGUGGAAGGAAAAAUGGAAAUUAUUAUACUUUGGACUAGUGGUGUUCGAAUUUGUUUGCUUUGGAUUUUUUAUUUUUUAUUUUUUGUCUUAAACAAAUCUUGUGGAAAAAGGAAAUUUAUCAUUUCAUUAUUUGGGGUUUUAAGCACUGCCGGAGAAAAUAUGUAAGAGAAUUAGAUGGUCAAAAAGUAAUAGGAAGGAGAAAAAAAAAAUAUUGACUUAGUAAAAAUGCAUGGACCUUGGGAAGGGUUAAUUUUGAUGACAUCUUUAAGAUUUUAUGAAAAUACAUUUGUUCAUUAUUAAUUUCAAAUUUUCUCGAUUAAUACUUUUAUCAUUGUGUUUAUUUUUUAAAUUUUAAUUUUUUUUUAUAGAGAUUUGAAGUGAAAAGAUUUUAGGUAAUAAUAAUUCUCAAAUGUUAGAAAGGUUUAAGGUUGAAAAGAUAGACUUUUAGCCUUAUUUGAUCCAACCAAUCUAUGGGACUUGAAUCAAUUCAAUAGAUUGGGAACUAGUUGAAUCGAUUGCCCUUUCCUAGUCAAGGUCCGACCCAAGGUGCAAAAAUUUUUGUUUGAACUUGCAUUCCCAAUCUAGGUUAACCUUUAUCAAUCGAACUUCGAAAAUGACAAACAAUUACCUUUUAAGUAUUUAUUGAGAUGAGAACACUUGCAUUGAAUUCCUUAUCUAACAUUUUUCUCUCGUUCAAAGUAUUCAACUCUUUGUACGUCUAUUUAUUCAUCUUAACUUCUUUUAUAUUUAAGUAUUUAUUGUGCUAGGUUGAGUGUUGUUAAACCUUUAUUAAUUUGAGUAAGGUUGAAUGUCGAAGCUUUAAAUUAAAGAUUCAAUUUGAACAUACUUGUAUGUAUCCAUUGGAAUCAUUGACUUUAAGUGUAAGAUUUGAAAACUUGGAUUAGAAGACUUAAAAAUUUAGAUUGAAAGCCUUGAACUAGUAGUCCCUCACUUGAAAGGAGUUUGAGGGUAAACAUAGGUGAGUAUUGUAGAACUACUAUAAAAAUCGUCUUUAGGAUGUUAGUUUUUAAAUUUUAAAAACAUGUUUGUUAAUUAAUUUUUAACUAAAACCAAUUUUUUAAUCUUCUUAGGAUUAUGUAAUAACUAUGUAAACCUUAAUGGAUAUGUCUUUAUAUUUUAGUUUUCAAAUUUUAAAAAUAUGUUUUGAUAUUAAUGGAUAUGUGAAAACGGUUUUUGAGUAGUUGAAAUAUCAUAUAAAUUUUAAUUAGGGAUGUUGACUUAUUGGCAUGUGAGUUGUAUCGACUAUUUUAUUGGGUCAGUAUUUGUGCAUCCAUUAUUGUAUGUCUAUUUUCUUGUUUGUUGAAAAGAUUGAAAAAAAUAAAAGAAGAAGUGAAAACUCAAACGAUUAAUUCACAUGAUGAACCUUCUUGAGUUUGAUUUAAAAAUAUCUAUUUAUCAUUUUCUAAUUGUUAUCCAUAGUUGAAAUGCAAUGCAUUUACAAUAUUAGUAAUACUGUUAGUCUAAACAUUUAAUGAAAUUUAAUUUAAUUUAGAUUCAAUUCAAAUUUAGGGCUAUUUAGAUUUUAAAUGAAAAAAACAAACACUAAUUUAACUCUUUCCCUUUUUUUUUCUUAAAUUAAAAUAAACUUUAGAUUUCACAAAAAUUCUCUAACGAUUACAUGUAUUUAUUAUCCACUUUACCCCAUGAUAAUGCAUGAACUCAUUAUCGAUUAAGUAUAUUUCAAGUAACUAGAAACCAUGGGCAAGAUAGUAAUUUUCAUUAUUUAGACCUGAAUUGUUAAUUAAAUUGAAAUAUACUCCCUAUUAGAGAUAAAAAUAUAAGAUAUAGAAGUUAAGAUUACCUUUAAAUACACUUUAUAUUUUGUGUUUUUAAAAUUUAAAAAUAAUAAUAAAUUUUAUAUAAUAUAUAAGAAUUUAUAGAUUUUAUAUUUUUUUAAAUGAAAAUUAUUUCAAAAAAAUAAGAUCUUAAAAAAAUUAUUAUCUCAAAUUUAAAAAAAUUUUAAAGUGAUUUUAGAAAACAUAAGAUAAAUCCUUUUUUAUAUAUAUAAAAUAUUUUAUUUUUAUACAAAGAUUUUUAAUUUUAAAAAAUAAAAAAUAGUAAAUAUUUCCCGACGAUUAUGCUGAUUGAGUCGCAUAUGAUUGGUCUGUGUCUUAUAAUUAUUUUGGUAUUAGGAGCCGUGCAUAAACAUCCUUCAGGGCUACAAGCCGGCGGAUAUUUUUCCCAGUCGCAAAUCCUCUUCUUAUCCAAAAUGAUGUGACCGAUCACAUUGAUAGUGGCAGGAUGCGCUCUAGGAUGCCUGGCCACCAAUAAUUUAAGAUAUAUUUAAAUAAAUAAAAAAUUUAACCACGAUAUUUCUUUAAAAAUUUUAAAAUCUAAGGUAUAAUUUUAUAUGAAAUUUUAAUAAAUAAUAAAACAUUAUUAAUACAUAUAUUAACAGUUUGUUAUGAAUGUAAAAUUUUUGAAAUUUUUUUAUGCUAUAUAUUUAAAAUCGUAUAUGGCAUUUUGUUAGGGUGUAAUAACAUAGCUAUUGCCUAUAUUUGGUUUCAAAAAAUAUUUUUAAAAAUAAUUUUAUUAUAUUUGAUUUAUCAUAAAAAAUAUAAAAGAAAUAUAAAUAUAAUUAAAAUUAAUAAAAAUUUAUAUAUGUUUAAGUUAUUUAAAUUUUUUUAUAAAAUAAUUAAAUAAGAAAAAUAAGUUUGAAGUAAGAAAUAAAAAUAAUUUGUUAACUUUAAAUUAUUAUUAUUAUUUUAUAUAUAUUUUUUGUUUUUGUUUCAUUUCAUUGGAGGUUGGGAAUAGAUAUAUAUCCCGGAAUGGGUGACGCAAAUAAUUAGAAUAAAUUUGUAAAAAAAAUAUAGAACAUCUCCAAGAUGAUAGAGUUAGGAAUAGGAUUGAAGUGGACAGCACAUUUGAGUGGACAAGAAAAAUGGAAAUAAUUGUAUUUUGUACUAGACGUGUUGGAAUGUGUUUCCUUUUGGUAUUUCCUCUAAAGCAAAUAUAGUGAAAAGGAAAAAUAAAAUAUUAAUUGGAUAAAAUUAAACUUAUUUUUAUCUUGCCUGCAUAUUAUUUAUUUUAAUAUUUCUAUUCUAUUUAAAAAACCUAAGAUAAAAAACCCUCAUUAAAAAAAAAAAAAAAAAACUAAGAUAAAAAACCCUCAUUAAAAAAAAUAAAAAAAUUAAGGGAAUUUUAAAAUGUUAGAAAUAUUAGGCUAAUCCAACCUAUAAUAAUCAUCUUAGAGGGGGAGAGGGAGAUACCCUACACUUGAGAAACUUCCUCUCAAACAAAUGAAUGAUCUUACAAAAAUCCUAACACAAGAACUUUAGGAUCAAAUGAUACAAAAAAAACUAGGAUUGAAUGGUGCACUAAAGAUAUGCAAGUUUUGAAAUAAUGGUGCACUAAAAAAUACACUUCCAAUGCUCAAAUAUAAUUAAGAAAGAUUUGGGAAGGUUAAGCUUCUUAAACAAUGAAGAUUGGAGCCUUUUUAUAGAAGAGAAAAACCAAACUAGCCGUUUGGGGGUUUGAUCGGUCGAGCUAGGGGUUGACCGGUUGACUAGCCGUUAGCAUUAAAUGCUUGGCAGGUGACCGUUGGGCCUCAGUCGAACCUCGACCGAUCCUCGAUCGGGAAGAGAAGACCACUAGGAGAGAGAGAAACUUUUUGGUCUCUUUCAACCGGUCCUCGAUCGAACUAGCACAACCGGUUGACCGGUUGAGCCAUUUUUUGGCUCAACAUCCAACCUUUUUCAACUUAAAACCUUUUAAAACAAGUUUGAGAAAUAUUUAACAUAAGGUUUUAGUUGAAAACAUGAAAUUAUUCAAUUCUUAAGAUAUUUAAAACAAUAUUACUCUUGAAUGAUUUUGAUGCAUGAAUAAAAAAUGAAAUGUAUGAAAGUUCUAGUGCACCAACAACCUUACAAAGAGAUCUUAUGAAACUUAGGUCUUGAAAAACACUUCUCUUUGAGGCGAUCUUCUUCUUUAUGAUUUCUCCUUGACUUGAUUUGUCUUUGUGAUUGCCACUUUGGAAAUCGUCUUGCCUAAUCACACUUGAAAUAUAAUCAUUAGUUCUAAACCUUGUUUUGUUAUAAUCAAGAUUAACCAAACCUUGGUUUCACAUAAAAUAUAUGAUAAUUUUUAAUAAAAAAUAAAUUUUGAAAAUUUGUUCUGAGAAUAAGUUCUUUAAGAACUUUUCUUAUUUUUAAAAAAUUAUUCCUAAAAACCUUUUUAUUUUUUAGAAACAUUUUUGAACACUUGAUCCCUUAUUUAUUUUUAAUCAAAAUGUUUUAAAAAGAAUAUUUUUGAACACUUGAUCCCUUAUUUAUUUUCAAUCAAAAUGUUUUAAAAAGAAAAAUUAUUUAAACAUUUAUGAGCAGGAAAAUGCUAAUCUCUAGGUUGUUAAAUGCUAAUCUCCAGCUUGUUAAACGGAGCAAGAUUUGACAUAAAAUGAGGAAUAAUUAUUGGACAAAAUUAUUGUUGUUAUAAAAUAUGAGAUUUUAUCGAAACUUGUGGAUGAUCUUGAUGUAUAUAUGACUCCUAUAAAAGAGAGAUACCUCUAAUGAAAUUCUAUUUUCUUCGUACAUUCUAAUUUUUCUUUUUUCUUCUUAUUUCACUUUGUAAUUUUUGUUUUUCCUUUUUAUUACUCAUACGUGCAAUCAUGUGAUUAUAAUCAUAUAUUUCUACUUUUGAAUUAUAUGGAAAUAAUUUAAAUUUUUACAAAAUAGAUUUUGAAUUAUACUUAUCAAAAUUAAAAUAUAUUUUAUUUUUUUAAUGAAUAUGAAUUAUAGUUCUGACUACUUGAAAGAAUUUUAUAGAAAAAAUAUAUUUUUUUAAAAUUAUUUAUUUUUGGAUUUUAAAAUUUAACCAUGAUAUGUUUAAAAUAGAAAAAAAAAAGCUAAAAGAAAAACUAAAUUUUAUUUUUGAGAUAAAAAAUGAAACUGAAUAACAUAUCAUAGAUAGAAGCUGAUUUGGUCUACUAAAAAAGUAGAUAAUGCUUCGGUUUUAUAAAACUUAAACUUAUUACUUAAUAAUUUAAAUUUAUUUUUAAAUUAAAUUAUACUUAAAUUAUUAAUUUAAAAUUUAUUACUUAAUUUUUACUUUUAAUUAGGCAAAGCAGGUUGAGUAAUAGUGGAGGUGGGGAAAAAGCAAAUGAGAUUGUGGAGGUAAGUAGGUAAUUAGGGCAAAUGAGAGUAAAAAAUUAAAUUAAAGAUGUAGAUUUAAGAAUAAGUUAAUUGAUUUUAUCUAUUACUUAAAAUUAUUUAUUUAUUUAUUUUAUUUGAUGAAAGAAACUACAAUGUAGAAUGCCUAUAAAUUUGAUUGAAAGAUGAACCACAAUCAAAACUAGCUUUAUAACAUCUUUAAAAAAAUUUGAUUAGCAAAUAAUUGAUUCUAAAUUACAAAUACCUUUCAUAACUAAACAAUCUGCUAUUAUAUUUGUUUCCCUAUAAAUAUAAUGACAAUCAUAAAUAUUUAAAUCUCUAACAUGUCAUUUCUUAAAGUCAUACAUUCCAUAAUAAUUAUUAAAACAUUACUUUUAUGACUACUUGUAAGUUGUAACUAUUUUUAUAGUACCAUUAGAGUCUCUAAUAACCCAUUUUAAAGUAUUUUUAUUCUUUAUUUUUGAGCUAUCAAAAUUUAAUUUGAAUCUUUCAUUAAUUGAAUAUAUCCAAUGAAUUCAUUUUUCAGGGAUAUUGCGUUAUUUGAUUAGAAGAUAUGAGUCGAUCUUAUAAUCCUGAAGAUUUUGGAAGUUUUAAGGUAGCUUUGUCAAUUAUGAGAAAGGGGUUGAGUUGGAUUUUCCUAAAAAAUACUUGAUUUUUAUGAAUCUAUAUAUUCACAAGAUAAUGAAAUUUUUUUUCAUAGGAUGCUUGAAAAUUUUGUAAUUAAUUUUAUAAUUUUUAUACAUCGGCUUCGAGGUAAGAUAGGAAGUCACAUUUAUAAAAGGGAAGUGUAUAACAAUUAUACUUCAAUGCAAAGAUGACAUAUGUUGAAAUUUUCAGCCUCCUAGCAACAGAAACUUACAAAUAAGGAGGACAUCUCAAUAUUUUUGGUAAAAGAUUUAGUUUCAAAAUAAUUUCAAAGUUAAAAGUUAUUUUUAAAAUAUAUUUAAUUUUUUUUAAUAAUUUAAAUUAAAUUAUUAAGUCAAUUAAGUUAUUAAUUCAGUUAAGAUACCACUUCUUUACCACCAUUGAAUUCGUAAAAGUAGUCUUUAGUGUUUGAACACGUAAUGAGUGGAGGGGACUUCACUGUGGAAAAGUCAAUUUAUCAACAUUGGCAUUUCGGUAGCUAGAGGGAAACACCAUGGGAGUUUUCAUCUUCUCCAGCUUCGUAUAGGAUAUAGGCGACGAUGCUCCUCCACAUUCACCACCAACUCAGCACUGUCAUCACUCCUCUCGCAGCCUUUCGCCCCACCUCUUCUUUUUUAUAAGUGAUAAAAAAGCUUCUAUAAAAAUAUCCAAUUCUUUGGGUCUUUGAGCUUCUCAGAUCUCUAAGCCCACUUGAGAAAGUUUAGCAAACAGGGGAACAGCUUGUUUUGAUGAGAUGAUUCGACUACCAGAGAGGUUUAGAGCGUUUUUUAACAACAGAUGGCUGGUGUUUGUGGCCGCAAUGUGGAUACAGUCGUGUGCCGGAAUUGGGUACUUGUUUGGGAGUUUAUCGCCGGUGAUUAAGAGCUCACUCAACUAUAAUCAGAGGCAGAUUGCAAGGUUGGGUGUGGCUAAGGAUAUCGGAGACAGUGUUGGGUUUUGGAUUGGGAGCUUGUGUGAGAUUUUGCCUCUGUGGGUUGCUCUGCUCAUUGGUGCUUUGCAGAAUUUAAUUGGGUAUGGGUGGGUUUGGUUGAUUAUCACUCAUCGAGUUCCAACUCUGCCCUUGUGGGCUGUGAGUAUCGCUUAUCAAAUACUUUUCCCUUUCCUCUCCCCUUUCCAUUUCACGUGAACCAUCGCCUAAAGUAGCUGUGCUUUUUUGUUUCUUCUUUCUUUUGGUUUUUGUUUGAUGUCAGUUUUUUUAUUUUGUCUGGUUUUCUUUUAGUUACUCAUAAUGAUCUGGGUCUUUUUGUUAUACUUUGGAAGAUGUACUGGGUAUCUCAAACCAAGUGAAAAUGAUCACAUAAACUGGAGACCUUGUUUUCUUUCUUCCUUUAUAGAUUUCCGGAGCAUAGUUCAAUCUUUUUUUUUUGUUUGUUUGAUUAGAGCAGUCCUCAAUUUAAUUUGUAAAUCGGAUAAUCUCUUGCAAGAAUAAUUUUUAUUCUCAACCUUUCGGCAUAGUUUCUGGAUUUUAACGUCCGGAGUCCUGCGACUGAUGGUGGGCUGUUUUAUUGUAUUGUCCUUGAUUGAGCAAAGGAGUUAAUUUUAUUAUUUUUUAUAUUCAAUCUUUUUUGGAUUAGACGAUUCUUUGGUUGUAUUUGUGAAAUUUGAUUAACGGUCCAAAUUAGAGUAGGGGGUUUCUAUUUUAUUUUAUUUCUCUGAUUUUGCUUUCUAUCAUAGUUAGUCCUUUCCAUUUGAGUCGAGAUUUGCAUUUCUGCUGGUGAAACAGCAUCAUCCUUCUGUGCAUGAAAUAAGAAAUUAUAUUGAAGAUGGUUAAUAAAUAGGUUUGGCAGAUGUUUAUGCUUUAGAUAUCCAACAGUCUAAGGGCGAAGGUGAUUCUGACUGAUUUCAGAUGUCGGAAUUAGUUGUUCUACUGGGCUCCAAUACUCCCUUGGGGUUUGUCAUAAAUCAAUAGAUCUUCAAAACUUUCAACAAUGUGGUUGAAAAGUUUGGCUUUGCAAAUACAUGAAUCACAUUUUACCUUUGAAACGGUUCUAUCCUCGUUUUUUCUCAUUACAGUUCUGGAGUCAGAUAUUUGUUCCUUUUGUUUUGUAUUUCCUAAUACACUAGACUAACUCCUAAUGCAAUUUAUUAUGCAGUUCCAACUUGUCUUCCUAUGGGCAUUAAUAAUUGGCUGAGCUGUAGUUAUCAUCUGAGUCAUGCACCAAAAAGCUUCUGAAACUUUGUAUUCUAGACAAUUUUAGAUUUAAGCUGGUCAGAUGGAUCCUUAAAAGUAAUAUGCUAAAUUUGACAACUUGUAGAGGGUUGAUUAUUACAUGUGUAGCUCACCCACAAAAAUGCAAUCCAAAAAAGAAAAAAAAUCUGAUCCUUGUGUCUAGAUGUCUGUUUCUAUUAUUGCAUAGACGACAUAUAUAUGUUAUAAUGAUGGAGUCUGCAAUGCAGUUGGAUGAUGAACAUCUAUUACAAUAUUGAAAUUUGAGACAAUUAUAUAGAAGUUUGAUUUUUAGAGUCAUGUGCUCUAAUCAGAGAUAACUUAGGAUACUUUUUAAUCUUGCAUCCCUUCUUGCUGUGGUUAAAUUGUUAAUGGAUAUCAGUAUGCAGAUAUGCAUUCUUAUAUUUGUGGGAACAAAUGGUGAGACCUACUUCAAUACGGUGGAUCUGGUUUCCUGUGUGCAAAAUUUCCCAAAGAGCCGGGGGCCCGUGGUUGGAAUAUUAAAAGGCUUUUCUGGGUUGAGUGGCGCCAUUCUGACGCAGAUAUAUACCAUGAUCCAUUCCCCUGAUCACGCAUCCCUCGUAUUCAUGGUUGCAGUGGGUCCAACAAUGGUAGUUUUUGCUCUAAUGUUCAUUGUUAGACCUGUUGGAGGUCACAGACAAGUCCGGCCAACUGAUGACUUAAGUUUCACAUUCAUCUAUGGUGUCUGCCUCGUUUUGGCUGCUUAUUUGAUGGGGGUCAUGCUUCUUCAAGACCUAGUUGACUUAAGCCACACAGUGGUCACAAUUUUUACAGCAAUUUUGUUUGUCCUCGUUUUGGUACCAAUUGUGAUUCCUGUGUCAUUGAGUUUUCCCUCAGAGCCAAAAGCUCCUGAACUAGAGGCUCUUCUAACAGAGCCACAGAAAGAAGAACCUGGCAAGUCCGAACAGGAUGCAACUGAGGUUAUAUUUAGUGAGUUGGAAGAUGAGAAGCCUAAGGAAGUAGACUUGCUUCCAGCAUCAGAAAGGCAAAAACGAAUUGCCCAUUUGCAAGCAAAACUGUUCCAAGCAGCUGCAGAAGGAGCUGUGAGGGUCAAGAGGAGGAGGGGGCCACGUAGAGGGGAGGACUUUACCCUGAUGCAGGCUUUGAUUAAGGCGGACUUUUGGCUUAUCUUUUUCUCACUUCUAUUGGGUUCUGGAUCUGGUUUGACAGUGAUUGAUAAUUUGGGACAGAUGAGCCAGUCUUUAGGAUAUGAUAAUACACAUAUAUUUGUAUCCAUGAUCAGCAUUUGGAAUUUUCUUGGUCGAAUUGGUGGAGGUUACUUCUCUGAGAUGAUAGUCAGGUAUAAACUUGCUUCAUUUCCAUUGGGUUUCCAGAUUUGGUUUUGAUUUUGGUUUGUGCUCAUUUUUCUUAUCCGAUCUUGUGAUAUUUGUUGAGUAGGGACUAUGCUUACCCACGGCCAGUGGCCAUGGCAGUGGCCCAAGUUACAAUGGCACUUGGACACUUAUUCUUUGCUAUGGGAUGGCCCGGGUCACUGUACAUUGGUACUCUAUUGAUUGGGCUUGGUUAUGGAGCCCACUGGGCAAUUGUGCCAGCUGCUGCCUCUGAGUUGUUUGGCUUGAAGAACUUUGGGGCUUUAUACAAUUUUAUCAAUCUUGCAAAUCCUACAGGUUCACUAGUGUUUUCUGGUGUCAUUGCUAGCAGUAUCUAUGAUCGUGAAGCGGAGAAACAAGCUCAUCACCACCAUCACCAGCAGCAGAACAUGGGAUCAAUUUUCUCUGGCAUGCUUAGUGUGGAUGACCCUCCAAAAUGUGAAGGUUCCAUAUGCUUCUUUCUCACUUCUAUGAUAAUGUCUGGUAUCUGCAUUAUAGCAGUUGUUUUAAGCAUGGUACUCGUACAUCGGACAAAGGUCGUCUAUGCCAACCUCUAUGGAAAAUCACGUACUUGACUCAUGGCAAGAGUAGCAAAAGGGGCAUUGUGAGUAUAGUGUUUGUCCAAUUUAUGUUGAUGUUCUGUAUACUUCAUCCGAGCUCAUGGAGAAGUUGCUCAUUUUUAACCCAUGUUUCUGAAAGUAUUUAUUGAGGGAGAGAUGGUAAAGCUUAGCAAUUCUCCAGAACACACGACUCCAGAGGGGGAAGCAGAUGGAAUUUAGACACUGCUAUUUUCAGGUGUUCCACAACGUUUGCUAUAAUGUAUUGGAGUCACGCAUGGUUCUAUUUUGUAUGUUAAGGUUGUGUAUUUCUUUUCAUUCUAGUUUGGACAUUUAUUUGGUGUGGAAGUAUCAAAUUUGUUCCCUAAAAGUUCUUUCCUACGGCUGUUGUUGGGACUUUUUGAGGAGGAUGUGCUUACUAUUUUUUCAUUCAUUAUUUAACACUGAAUUUCUUUAUUUGCUUACAUUUUGAGAAAAGUUACAGAAUUUUAGUUGUAAAGCAAGCAUCAUCUGGCAGGCUAUAUGACCAUCAUGAUUAUCUAGUCUAUGAAAAGAAUUGCAAAACUUUAAUGUCGUAGGUCUUGUUAUGAAGACUGAACAUUUCAAGGAUGAAAGAGAGUCCGCUUACACAGGCGAUCAGAAAACAGAGUACAUGCAGGGGAUAUCAGGAAACUGGAAAAUGAGGAAUUCGUUACAGAACUUGUUGCUGAGACAUUGCCUUCAUGAUUGAAGGCUGUGCAAUCCGUCCUAAUUUCUCCUUGGUCACCAGUUUUGAUGCCAACACUCCCAAGCUUCCUCAUUGCUGUGAUGGCCAACUCUCCCAAGCUUCCUCAUUGCUGUGAUGGAAGCUCCAUUGUAUUAAAAUAUUGUGUGAAUCACCGAAUACCUUGGCCUUGAGUUUUGUAUAUUAUAUAUAGAUUUUACAAGGAUGCUAUACAUGGAAAGCAAAUAAAUUCCCGCAUGAUUCUAGCUCUAUAUAUGUAAACUAUAAUUUGUCAAAUAAUGUAUGUUAACUGUACAGAAUAAUAAAUGAAGAAAUAAGGAAAAGUAUGGACAACAAAGCUGUCAUUUGACACAUUGAACUCACCUGGGCUGUUGGCAAAAUCAGUGACCGUAGGCUGAGAUGUAGGGUCAGUGAAGAGCACCUCAUAUUAAGCUGGCUAAGUGUGUCUCGCAAACAUGAAGUUGAGUUGGUCAAAGAUCAAAGGAGGGUUCGAGUAGGUUUCCAGCAACCCGAGAUACUUGAUAGAUGAGACCAUCACGACAACCCAAUUCUACACUGAAUCAAGGGCCUCCAACCUGACAGUUUUCAGAAUGAGUUUUUGGUUAAAAAAAGCGAGAUACAAUUUCAGUUACUGCUAAUGAGGUCCUGCGUCCUUACCAGGGCUACAACAUCUCUGGCAGCUAGAGCCAGAAUAUCUGCACAAGAGACUUGUGGGCACUAAAGCUAGUGGCCAGCCGUAUAGUCUCACCCGAGCGAUCCAUCCGAGCGGUAUGGUACCUGGCCGAGAUUUAUAACCCAAAAGACAGACGCUCGGGCAGCUGGACACAAUAAAUGGAACGGUUAUGCAUUUUGCGCAAGACAGGCAACUGUUACAUGUCAUAAAUAAUUGAUCAUUAUCAGUGGUCAAUGAUUGAGCGUUACACAUUAAAGCUGCAAUUAAGGACAAUUAUAAGGGCAAAAAGCAACGUUAAAGAUCACCCUCUAUAGACACCACCCGACACCAGGGGAAAGGUACCCAAAAUGAUUCCUACAAAAUCCUUGCCAAAACAUUGGGGUUUUGCUUGGACAGGAUUCGAGCACACCUUUUUUUGCUGGUCAAGAGAAGUGCAAAUUGAUUUCAAGGGAUAUAAUAUUUCUCUAGGUGUGGAUGUGUGUUCUUGAAAAUAAUUUUUGGUUCAUGGAUAGAAAUAGACUUAUUGGUGGAAAUUAAUUAAUAUUUUCAUUAUUUAUGGAGUCAUGAGUGAGUUUGAGCUUUCUUGACAAAUUGUUAAUAAUAAUUUUUUUUUUUUAAUCUAUGCAUAUGAUAAAUAGGUAAGGUUUCUCACUCUUAUUGGUUUUUUUUAUCAAUAUGAAUAAUUUUUAGCUCAAUGAUUAGAAGAUAAGUGUGUGAUUCUCAUGUUUCUCAUCAUUGUUGGAUCAUUGUGUGUUCAUUGGAAAUCAUUUUGGUGUUUUUCAUGUGGUCUUCUAUCAAAAUCAUUUUUGUGUUGGGUAUAGAUUGAUCUGCUCUGGGGUUGGAUCUAUCCAUUGUGCUGACAAUCAUUUGGCCGAGAGUCUAUGUACAAUUUGCGGAUCAAUCCAACAAGAUCAAUGUUAUGUAGUUCCAACACUUUUAGCAGUCUCUUAUAUUCAGGUUUCAGUCUUUUGGUUGAGAGCAUAUGACCGGAAUUUGGAUUGAACCACCAAGAUCAAUGUUACUCACUCCACGUUUCUCACCCUUAUGUCACAGGAUGCUUCAAAUGACCCUCCCCAUGGGCUUAUAUAGGAGGAGGGAAGCUUCUGGAGACUCUUGGAGCCAUCUACACUAAGCCAUUGGUGGGAAGAGUGUGGAAGGUUCUAGAAAUGCCUAGAGAUGUCCACACAUCUCUACACUAUGGUGGAAGACAUGAGAGGAGUCCAAGGCUUUCUAGAAGAUUCUAAAGAUCUCUUGCAUAUUCUUGUACAUAGGGUUGUACAUAGAUUAGUGUAGGGAGUUCUAGAAUAUUCUUGAUUUGUAAGGAACCCUCCAAGGUUCUAGAGAGUUCCCUUGGUGCCUAUAAAUAGGUGAGGGCCUCAUUUGGCCAAGGCACCACCCAAAUCACUUCCUAACCAAGCAAGUGAGCAUCCAAGCACUUGUAAAGGCUUCGUUGAGUAAUAAAGAGCUUCCAUUCUUUAAGGAGUUGCCUACCAAGCUUCUUAAGCUUUCGAGUCGCGAUAGCCGAGCAAGCUAAGCAUUGGGGAGCAAGGCUGACUUAGCAAGAUCAAGCGUCUUGGCUUGUCUAAGUGCCGCACGAGCUUAGUGAACGACUAAGCCUGUGACACUUAGCCGUUUUUGGGUAAUAUGUCUUUUUGAAGCUUGUGCUACUAUAUUAAGUGAGUGUUUGAGGGGUAAAAUUGCCAUUUUCAAUCUAAAAAAUCUUUUUUGAAAAAGCCAAAAUCCUGAAAUCUAAAAGCCCUAUUUUUUUUCCAAUUAAGCCCUAAUUUCAAAUCUCUCAAAGGGGUCUUUAUUUCUUCCCCUUCACUGCAAGAGCUUCCAUUGCCAAGACCAUGGGAAUUCAUUUCUAAUGAAGUCCUCCAUUAGCAUCAUUCUUAUCAGCAUAAAAAAUCUCUGAAUCAAUGCUCCAUUUGAUGUCAUUUUUUUCUUUUUUUUUUGUGGCUCAUCCGUGGGUUUCUUAGCUUAAGCCAUCUUCUCCAGCAAGUUGCUAUAUCUGGCAACUAUUUCUUGAACUGUCACUCUGACAAGGUUUUCUUUCCAACAACCCUUAGCAUUUAGUCCAUCCAUUUUUCUCUCCACUAUUAGCCUUAUUUGGAUGUUUUCUGUUUGUGGAGCCUUCUCAUUGUAGAUUUCCUAUUUGAGGUUUCAUUUUUACCUUAGAUUGUUCUUGAUUUCUAACAAUGUCAGUCCUAGGCUUUGUUUGUUCAUUGUGAGUGCUUUCUAUACAUUUGCAUGCUUGGAAUGUAUUUUUAUGGUGGUAGAGCAUUUUCUAAAAGUUUUGAAUUGAGACCCUAUGAUGGGAUUAGGGGGAGUUUCUUGUAUCUUGUGAUAGGAGUUAAGAGGAGACUCUUAUAUCCCAUUAAAUUUUUUUGGGAUGUUGAUAUGGAUGCUUAGUAAUAUGUGGAUACUUUAUUUUUGGGCAUUUAAUAUCUUGUUGACAUGUGGAUGCUUGUUGAUUUGAAUAUUUGAUAUUCUAUUAUUAAAUGGUCAUCCCUUUGUUUUUUUUUUCUUGGACAAAAAGAGGUUGAUUGUGGUUUUUGUCUCCUUCUAGGAUAAAUAAGGGAGAUGCAUUAUAUUUAAGAUUUUAGAUAUUGGACGGUGUUGAUGAUUAUUGCCAUUUUGUAUAUAUAUGUUGAUAUUGGAUAUUGGAUGGAUAUCGGAUGUUAUUGAUGAUUAUUGUUAUAUUUUUUUAAGAUACAUGUUGAUAUGUGAACUUAUCUAGUUUGGAUUUGGAUAUACAUGUGAUAAUUCUUUUGGAUAUUUUUUUUUAUAUACUUGGAUAUAUUGUAUCUAUUCAAUUGUUUCAUAUAGGUGCUACUAAUUGUUUUUGGAAGUUUAUUUGCAAGUUUUGUAGUAAUUAGGUUGUGAGAUUGAGUGGGUAAGUGAAUGGCCUUGUAUGAGAAUGGGUGAGGCUUGCUUGCUUAUUCUAUUGUGUUGUAAAGGGUUUUGUCUCAGAAUUGUCAAAGAGGGAGAUUGUGAGUGUUUAGCUAAGUUGACAAUAUUGGACAAAAUUCUUAAGUAUCUCCUAAUUCAGUUUUUUCAAAUCCUUCUUUGAACUACUUGCCUAAUGAAGAUUAAAUUGUUGAAUUUGCUAAGAGACUCAAGUAUAUAGUUGAGGUUGGAGUUUGAUGAAAUUGAAUCAAUCAUAUUUUUUUAAAUGUUGUUUUUCUUGAAUGUAAUUUUUAAGGAGUUAGGGAGGUCUAGGAAGCAUAUAAUAUAUAUAUAUAUAUAUAUAUAUAUAUAUAUAUAUUUACUAAGUAUUCAAAAUGUCUUAUUCCAAAAUUGAUCCAAUUUCAAGUUAGAUCGAUCUAGGUUGCAAUUUCUUGAUCUUAUUUCAUUCGUUGGAUUAAGGGUUUCUUUAAACUUAAAAUACAACAAUUGCUUCCUGAAAUGCGAGAAAUAAUCGUUCUCCCCUUGUGCUUUUUUUUUUCUUACAAAAAUUUAGGGUAUUUGGUUGUCAAGAAAAUCUCAUUUUCUACUUGAUUUUCAAAUUGUUUUCAACAGAUUUUCUUGAGAAAAAAUGAGUUAAUUCUUUUGUUCAUUCAUCUCUCAAUUUUUAAUCUAUUUGGAUUUGGGUGAAAACCCAUUUUCUUCUUAUGUGGAUUAAAAAAGAUGUCGAGAUCGAACUUGGUGAAGAUUCCAAGUGUGCUCCAUAAGAAGAAGGUAUGAAAUUGAAAGUGGAAAUGUGCUAGUCAAGUGAUUCGGGAAGGAUUGGUAGGUUUGAGAUAGGUAAAACCUUGCAUUCAUUUUUUAUUCUUCAUAGUGAACAUUUUCGAUCAAUUGUAGGUUCGUGAUUUUUUAUUUCUUCGAAGAUUUUUCACGUUAAAUUUUGGUGUCAUUGUCUUUUUCUCUAAUUCUACUUCUUGAUUUUAGUUUUCAUUUAUUACUUGGGCAUAAAAGUUUAAUGAAAUGAGUUGAGAUAGGUGUGAUCUUCUUUAAAUAUCUUGAAUAUUUUUUUCUUGUUAUUUUGCUAUGGACACUCAAUAGAAGUAGAAAAUUGUACUAAUGAGAAAUUGUUCUUAUGAACUGUGUUGGGAAGUGUUGUAGUAUUUACAUGUGACUUGCAUUUGAAAAUUAUUGGGAGAGUGUUGUUGUAUAUGUUGGAAAGUAUUCGACGAGAAGAACAAAUUGUGAAAAAUUUAAGGUUAAGUAAUAUAUGUUGGGGAAUGUUUUAAAUUUGUUUAAAAAAACACCUAUUCAAACCCCAUUUAAGUAUAGUAUAUCAUUGAGAUUCAUCUUCAUUUUUUAUAUCUUUAUGGAAAUUAUAUAGUAUUCACAAGCUCAUCUCUAUCUUCUAACAUUUUCUCGUCAUGACCUAAAAUAUUUAUAAAAAUAUUCUUAAAUAAUUUUCUUUAUUCUAUAAUAAAUUAUUAUAUUACAAUAAUACAUAAACUUAAACAAUAUUAUUUACGGGAUUUAUACUAAUUAGAAAUUUAUUAUACCAUCCAAAAGUUAUCAUUGAAAUCGAAAGAUAUUAAUUUAGAUUAUGAAACUUGGACUAAUAGAAAUCUUAAUUAAGAAACAAAUGGGCAAUUAUUAGUUUUUAAUUAAAUGUUAUAAUAAAAUAACAUUUGACAAAAAAGCUUAAAUUUUAUCUAUAAAUUAAAAUGAAAAUCUUAUUCUUUUUAUAAUUUAUAAAAUAAAUUUAUAAAUUAAUUAGUUGCAUCUUCUUAAAAAAAAUCUAAUUUCAAAUGAGUUAGUACUUUUAGAAAUGAUUUCUUUUGAAGAAAAAUAAUGUAUCAAUAAAACUUUUAAAAUUUUGAAAAAUCACUUAUUUAUCACUCUCGAAAAAGUACUCAGACAUGUGAUUAUCCUGAAACGAUUCUAAAGAAAGCACUUUAAUGAAAUGUAUUUCAAAUAUGAACACUCCCAAAGCCAUUAAAAAUUUAGAAGAGAUAAUGACCAAAAGGCAUUUGUAAAAUAAAAAUAUUUCCUUUUUAAGAGGAAAAAAACAAAAGUUCAAGUCUAUCUAAUGAAGUGGCUUGAAUAAGAACAAAAUGAGAGAGGCCAAGCAGAGCAGGGGAUGUUACACACUGAUCCUAUCCCAUCUUCUCCCAUUGUGAGAUCCUAUCUUGCUCUCCUCCCAAAACAUAAGUUACAAAACUACACAUUUUACCAAUAAAUAAAUAAUAGUAGCUAUUAUUAUAUUGGGGGGAAAAAAAAAGCACCACCCAAUCACCAACUGGCCCAUCUCUGUCUCAGCCUCCCUUUUUUUUUUUAUUCUUUUUUUUUUUGUGUCAAUUUGUAUAUUUCGAUAUAAAAGUCACGCUAUGUUUUGGGCUGGUGGCCCUUACUUGGAUUCAUGGAGAAGAAGCCAAAAUCACCUAUCCGCCAUCUUUUUUUCCCAUACCAAAUUGCCCUUGAAUGGCACUUCAAUAACAUCUCCGACCUUAUAUUUGAUUGGUAAUGAAAUAGCAUCAUCAUGUAAGAAAGUUUUACUCAUAAAUUUUAAAUAUUUUAAUUAUGAAUAUUAUUAAAUAUAAGAAAAAUUUUAUAUUUUUUAAUAAUAAAUAUUAAAAUAUAAUAUAAUUUUUAUUUUAAAUAAAUAUUAAAUAUUAAAAAAUAAUACAUAUUUCAUUUUAUUUUUUUAAACUAAAUAUAAGUAUAACGUAACAUAUCUCAUCAUAUAUAUUGUUUUAAAAUUUUAUUUCAUAUCUUAGAACCUCAUAUUUUUGUUAGAAAUUAUAUUAUAAUAUAUGUAUUUUCUAUUAAGCGGGAUAUGAUAUGAUGAGAUAUACAUAUCCUUUAAGAUAUCAUGUCUUAUCCUAUUAAUCAAAAUAUGUCAUAUUUGGUUAGUUGAAUAUAGUAUGAGAAAUGAUAAGGGGACGACACAUCAUAUCUUAUGUUUAGUUGAUAAUGGUAUAAAAGAAGUUAUUUUAUUACUUAUCCUAUUUUAUAUUCAACUAACUAUGAAUGAAAAAUAAAUGAUAAGAUAUAUUAUUCAUCAUUUUUUAUAUUUAUUUUACAUGAAAAAUAUAUUAUUCUUAAGCUAAGAUACAAGACAUAUAUAUAUAUCUCAUAUUUCUUAUUUUUUAAAAUCAAAAUUUAUUAUUUUUUUCUAUUAUUUAUUUAAUAAAAUAAAAAAACUGAUUAAAAAUUAAAAAUAAUACUUAUUUUUAUAUAUUAAAUAACAUAAUAUAAAAAAAUUAUUUAUAAAUUAUAAAUAUUUAUUUUAAACAAAUGUCAAACAUUAAAAAAUAAUAUUUGUUUUAUUUCAUUUUGUUAUAUAUUUUACAAAUUAAAUAUAAGGGUAACAUAACAUAAAUAAUGAUUUUAAGAGCCAUUUAUUUAAAAAAAAUUAAUAUGUGCAAAAUCUUUUUCCCUUAAAUUUCAAAAUUUUAUCUUUUGCUUGCUAUAAUACAAGUGGAAAAUUUUCUCAUUCAAGAUAAGUUAAUCAAUUCAAAGUCUCCACUAAACUUUUUUUUUCUUUUCAAUUUAGCGUAUACAUGAAAACUUUUGAUCUAGACAAAUUUGGUAAUACAAAUGAAACACGUUUUUAUUUUAUUUUAUUUUUUUUCUUUUUCUUUUCCUUUUUUUUAAAAGUGGGGUUCAUUGAUUUUGAUGGGAAAGAGAGAGAAAGAAAAGGAUUGUAUGUGUGACAUUUCAAAGAUUCUCUGAAUUGAUAUGAUUAGUAAGAGAGAAUGCUAUCACGUUAACAAUAGUGAGAGGUUUCUUUUGUACGAAAUAUUGGAAGUUUACAAAAUAUAUUGAAUUUUAUAAAAAUAAAAAAAUAAAAAAACCUAAAGAAAAUUAAAAAAAAAAGAUUGGAAGGAAAGCAUUUUUAAAAAAAUAAUUUUAUAUGAAAUUUUAAUAAAGAAUAAAACAUUAUUAAUACAUAUAUUAAUAAUUUAUUAUGAAUAGAAAAUUUAUGAAUUUUUUUAUGAUCUAUAUUUAAAAUUGUAUGGCAUUUGUUUGGGUGUAAUAAUUAAUAGGUUAUAUUUGGAUCCCAUCAAAAAAUUAAGAAAAUAAAAAAAUAUUUUUUAUAUUUGAUUUUAUCAUAAAAAUAUGAAAAAAAAUGGAAUAUAGUUAAAAUUAAUGAAAAUUUUAUAUAUUUUAAAUUAUUUAAUCUUAAAAUAUGAAAGAAUUAAAUAAGUGAAAAAAAAAAGAAUUUAUUGAAAUUAAAUCUAUUUUUUACUUUUUUUUUUUUUUUUUUUUUUGACAUUUUCCCUCAAAUUAUGGACAACCAAACAUAUGCCAAUAAUUAGAAUAAAUUUUAAAAAAUAAAUUAUGGAACAUCUCCAAAAUGAUAAGAGGGAAAAGGAUAGAAGUUGACAACACGUUUGGAUGAAAAAGAAAAAUGGAAAUAAUUAUGUUUUGUACUAGAAGUGUUUGAAUGUGUUUCUCUUUGGGUAUUUUCUCAAAAGCAAAUGCAGUGAAAAAGAAAAAAAAAUUUAGUUUGAAAAUAUUUAAUAACUUUUAAUUAAAAAUAAUUUUUGAAAAUUUGUUGAUAACUUUUCCAUUAUACCAUACAUGAGAAUAUACUAAAAAUAAUUAUUUUUUAUAUUUGUAUUUUCAAGUAAAACUUUAUUUCUCUGAAUGUAAUUGAUAACCAUUUUUAAAAAUUAUUUCUAAAAACCUUUUUAUUUUUUAGAAAUAUUUUUGAACACUUUACCAAAUAAAACCUACAUCCUUUAUUUAUUUUUAAUCAAAAUUAAAAUAUAUUUUAUUUUUUUAAUAAAUAUGAAUUAUAGUUCUGUCUGCUUGAAAGAAUUUUAUAGAAAAAAUAAUUUUUUUUAUUUAAAUUAUACAUUUUUUGGAUUUUUAAAUUUAACCAUGAUGUGUUUAAAAUAGAAAAAAAUUGUUACAAUAUGAACGAAAUUUUAUUUUGAGAUAAAAAAGAAACUGAAUAACAAAUCAUGGGUAGAAAGCUGCAGAAAUCUACCUAAAAACAGCAGGCUUGUUUGGAACCAUUGAAUUCGUAAAGCCGUGUCUACUCUUUGGGCAUUAAUAAAUGGAGGAGAAUUUAUCAAACAAUGGCAUUUCUGUAACUAUUAGGAAAUACCAUGGGAGUUUUCAUCCUCUCCAGUUUCAUAUAGGAUACAGGCGACGAUACUCCACGCCACCAACUCAUCAGUCAUCAGACUCAUCACUGUCAUCACUCUUCUCUCAGCCUUUCGCCCCACCUCUUUCUUUCUUUCUUUCUUUUUUUUUUUUUCCUUUCAUAAUUGAAAAAGUGACCAGAAAGCUUCCAUAAAAUAUUCAGCUCUUUGGGUCUUUGAGCUUCUCAGAUCUCUAAGCCUACUUGAGAGAAAGUUUACAAACAGGGGAACGGCUUGUUUGGAUGAGAUGAUUCGAUUACCAGAGAGGUUUAGAGCGUUUUUAAACAACAGAUGGCUGGUAUUUGUGGCCGCAAUGUGGAUACAGUCGUGUGCCGGAAUUGGGUACUUGUUUGGGAGUUUAUCGCCGGUGAUGAAGAGCUCUCUCAAUUACAAUCAGAGGCAGAUUGCAAAGUUGGGUGUGGCUAAGGAUAUUGGAGACAGUAUUGGGUUUUGGAUUGGGAGCCUGUGUGAGAUUUUGCCUCUGUGGGCUGUUCUGCUCGUUGGUGCUUUGCAGAAUUUUAUUGGGUAUGGGUGGGUUUGGUUGAUUGUCACUCAUCGAGUUCCAACACUGCCUUUGUGGGCUGUGAGUAUCGUUUAUCAAAUACUUUUCCCUUUUCUCUCCCUUUUCGAUUUCACGUGAUCCAUCGCCUAAAGUAGCUGUGCUUUUUUGUUUCUUCUUUCUUUUGGUUUUUGUUUGAUGUCUGUUUUCUUCUAGUUACACAUAAUGAUCUGGGUCUUUUUGUUAAACUUUGCAAGAUGCACUGAGUAUCUCAAACUAAGUUCAAAUGAUCACUCUUUAGAUUUCUGGAGCACAGUUCAAUCCUUUUUUUGUUUGAUAGAGCAGUGCUCAGUUUAAUUUGUCAAUCGGAUAUUCUCUUGCAAGAAUAAUUGUUAUUCUCUACUUUUCGGAAAAGUUUCUGGAUUUUAGCAUCCAGAGUCCUGCAAUUGAUAGUGGGUUGUUUUAUUGUAUUACCCUUCUGCAUAUUCUGUUUUUCUUUUACUUUUCCUUUGUUCUUUACCUAUAGGGAUCCUUUUAAGAUUCUGGAAUUGAUUUUAGCUGCAUUAUUUCCUUGAUUGAGCAAAGGAGUUAAUUUUAUUAUUUUUGAUAUUCAGUCUUCUUUAGAUUAAAUUUUUGAAAUCUUAUUUACUUUCCAAAUUUGAGUAGGGGUUUCUGUUUUAUUUUAUUUUAUUUUUCUAAUUUUGCUUUAUAUCGUAGUUGGUCCUUUCCAUUUGAGUUGAGACUUGCAUUUCUGCUGGUGAAACAGCAUUAUCCUUCUGUGCAUGAUAAGAAAUUACAUUGAAGAUGGUUAAUAAAUAAAUUUGGCAGAUAUUUAUGCUUCAGAUAUCCAACAAUCUAAGGGCUAAGGUGCUUGUGAUUGAUUUCAGAUGGAUGAAUUGGUUGUUCUACUGGGCUCCACUACUCCCUUGGGAUUGGUCAUGAAUCACAUUUCAAAGAUCUAAGGGCAAUCCAUUUCACAAGAUCUUUGAUGCUUUUGACAAUGUGGUUGAGAAGUUUGGCUUUGCAAAUGAUCUGAUACAUGAAUCAAAUUUUACCUUUGAAAUGUUUGUGUCAUCGUUUUUUUUCUCAUUACAGUUCUGGAGUCAGAUAUUUGUUCCUUGUGUUUUGUAUUGCUCUCCAAAGUACAACCUUUUUUGUUUUCACUAAACUUCAAAUUAUGUUCUAAUUUUUGGUUUACAUGGAUUGCCCUAGUGAGCUAUAUGUCCCUUUACUCCUUUAUCGGUAUAUUUGCUUCUUCAAAUUAUGCAUUUACCCUGGCUUUUAUUUCACCAGAAUUUACCAAUACAAUCAGUACAAUAAGAUAAUAGUGAAAUAUACUUAAAAUUCAGCACUAACAUAUUAUGAUUGAAAUAUAUUAGCCCUAGUGUACAUUGUUUGCUUUUGGGUUAGAUUGAUAGCCUAACAUGGUAUUAGAGCUUUGAUUAAUUAAAGGUCUCGAGUUUGAGUCUCUAUGUUUGUUUAUUCCCACACCUGUUUAUUUGCAAUUCGUAAUAUGUGAUUUGCUUCUCCAUGUGUGGGUAUGAGGCCCAGUAAACCAACUCUCAAUGCAAUUUAUUAUAUGGUUCCAACUUGUCUUAUUUUGGGCAUUAAUCAUUGGCUGAGCUGUAGUUAUCAUAUGAGUCAUGCACUGAAAAGCUUCUGAAACUUUGUGUUCCAGACAAUGUUAGAUUUAAGCUGGUCAAAUGGAUCCUUAAGUUGAAAGUAAUAUGCUAAAUUUGACUACUUGUAGCCUUAUGAGGAGACUUUUUAAUCUUGCAUCCCUUCUUGCUGUGGUUAAAUUGUUAAUGGAUAUCAAAAUGCAGAUAUGCAUUCUUAUAUUUGUGGGAACAAAUGGUGAGACCUACUUCAAUACGGUGGAUCUGGUUUCCUGUGUGCAAAAUUUCCCAAAGAGCCGGGGGCCUGUGGUUGGAAUAUUAAAAGGCUUUGCUGGGUUGAGUGGCGCCAUUUUGACACAGAUAUAUACCAUGAUCCAUUCCCCUGAUCACGCAUCCCUCGUAUUCAUGGUUGCAGUGGGUCCAAUAAUGGUAGUUUUUGCCCUAAUGUUCAUUGUUAGGCCUGUUGGAGGUCACAGACAAGUCCGGCCAACUGAUGACUUAAGUUUCACAUUCAUCUAUGGUGUCUGCCUCCUUUUGGCUGCUUAUUUGAUGGGGGUCAUGCUUGUCCAAGAUCUAGUUCACUUAAGCCACACAGUGGUCACAAUUUUUACAGCAAUUUUGUUUGUCCUCAUUUUAGCACCAAUUGUGAUUCCUGUGUCACUGAGUUUUUUCUCAGAGCCAAAAGCUCCUGAAGCAGAGGCUCUUCUAACAGAGCCACAGAAAGACGAACCUGGCAAGUCCGAACAGGAUGCAACUGAGGUUAUAUUUAGUGAGGUGGAAGAUGAGAAGCCUAAGGAAGUAGACUUGCUUCCAGCAUCAGAAAGGCAAAAACGAAUUGCCCAUUUGCAAGCAAAACUGUUCCAAGCAGCUGCAGAAGGAGCUGUGAGGGUCAAGAGGAGGAGGGGGCCGCAUAGAGGGGAGGACUUUACCCUGAUGCAGGCUUUGAUUAAGGCAGACUUUUGGCUUAUCUUUUUCUCACUUCUUUUGGGUUCUGGAUCUGGUUUGACAGUGAUUGAUAAUUUGGGACAGAUGAGCCAGUCUUUAGGAUAUCAUAAUACACAUAUAUUUGUAUCCAUGAUCAGCAUUUGGAAUUUUCUUGGUCGAAUUGGUGGAGGUUACUUCUCUGAGAUGAUAGUCAGGUACAAACUUGCUUCAUUUCCCACUGGGUUUCCAGAUUUGAUUUUGAUUUUGGUUUGUGCUCAUUUUUCUUAUCUGAUCUUGUGAUGCUUGUUGAGUAGGGACCAUGCUUACCCACGGCCAGUGGCCAUGGCAGCGGCCCAAGUUAUAAUGGCACUCGGACACUUAUUCUUUGCUAUGGGAUGGCCUGGGGCAAUGCACAUUGGUACUCUAUUGAUUGGGCUUGGUUAUGGGGCCCACUGGGCAAUUGUGCCGGCUGCUGCCUCUGAGUUGUUUGGCUUGAAGAACUUUGGGGCUUUAUACAAUUUUCUCACGCUUGCAAACCCUGCAGGUUCACUAGUGUUUUCUGGUGUCAUUGCUAGCAGUAUAUAUGAUCGUGAAGCGGAGAAACAAGCUCAUCACCACCAUCACCUGCAGCAGAACGUAGGAUCGAUUUUCUCUGGCAUGCUUAGUAUGGAUGACCCUCCAAAAUGUGAAGGUUCCAUAUGCUUCUUUCUCACUUCUAUGAUAAUGUCUGGUCUCUGCAUUAUAGCAGUUGUUUUAAGCAUGGUACUUGUACAUCGGACAAAGAUUGUCUAUGCCAACCUCUAUGGAAAAUCACGUACUUGACUCAUGGCAAGAGUAGCAAAAGGUGCAUUGUGAGUAGAGUGUUUGUCCAAUUUAUGUCAAUGUUUUGUAUACUUCAUUCCGAGCUCGUGGAGAAGUUGCUGAUUUUUAACCUAUGUUUCUGAAAGCUAAGCAAUUCUCCAGAACACGGGACUCCAGAGGGGGAAGCAGAUGGAAUUUAGACACUGCUUUUUUCGGGUGUUCCACAAUGUUUGCUAUAAUGUAUUGGAGUCACAUGGUUCUAUUUUGUAUGUUGAGGUGUUGUGUAUUUCUUUUCAUUCUAGUUUGGACAUUUAUUUGGUGUGGAAGCAUUAAAUUUGUUUCCCUAAAAGUUCUUUCUUACGUCUGUUGUUGGGACUUUUUGAGGAGGAUGUGCUUACUAUUUUUCAUUCAUUAUUGACACUGAAUUUCUUAAUUUGCUUAUAUUUUGAGAAAAGUUGCAGAACUUUUGUUGUAAAUUAAGCAUCAAUUGGCAGGCUGUAUGAUCAUUAUGAUUCUCUAGUUUGAGGAUAUCUAAACAACAGGCUGUAAAAUAUUGUCUUCCAAAUCUAUCUUACAACCUAAAUUAAAAAAAGAAAAAGGGAAAAAAUGAAUUGCUAAUCUUCAAUGUUGUGGGUCUUAUUAUGAAGACUCUGAACAUUUCAAGGAUACAACAGAGUACAUGCAGGGGAUUUCAGGAAACUGGAUAAUGAGGAAUUCGUUACGGAACUUGUUGCUGAGACAUUGCCUUCAUGAAGUGAAGGCUGUGCAACCCGUCCUAGUCUCUCCUUGGUCACCAGUUUUGACGCCAACUCUCCCAAGCUUCCUCAUUGCAGUGAUGAAAGCUACAUUGAACUCACCUGGGCUGUUGGCAAAAUCAGUGGCUGUAUAGGCUGAGAUGCAGGAUCAGUGCCUCAUCUGAAGUGAACAAACCCUUUCCUGCCACCAGAUUCUGGUAAUACACAUUGUCAAAUGUUCGUGAGGUUACAGGAUCCAUGUCAAUUGCUAUGCUGGGAUCCACAUUCUGAGGGCAAACUGACAUUAGCUGCUUGGCGUAAUCUCGGUCUAGAGAAGGGUCCACCGGGGAGGAUGAGGAGAAUGAGUAAAGGUGGUUGGCAAAGCGGCUGCAGUGGGAGAAGCCUAGAGUGUGUGCUCCAGACAAUGCUAUCAUAUCAAGCUGGCUAAGGUUGUGUCUCGCAAGCAUGGAGUUGAGUUGGUCAAGAUCAAAGGGAGGUUCUGGCAGGUUUCCACCAACCCGAGAUGCUUGAGGGAUGAGACCAUCAUGACAACCCAAUUCUACACUGAAUCAAGGGCUUCCAACCUGGGAGUUUUCAGAACGAGUUUUUGGUUAAAAAAAAAGUGAGACGAUUCAAUGACUGCUAAUGAGGUCGUGCGUCCUUACCAGGGCUACAACAUCUCUGGCAGCUAGAGCCAGAAUAUCUGCACAAGGGCCUAUCUCUGGGCAUGCUGCUUCUACUGCUUGCUUGGCUUUGAAUACGGUGUCACAGGCACCGUCUCCUGCAAGGGAGUGAUUAUCUUUAGAAUCCUUCUCCGCAUCCCCAUUUGGUGAUGAAAUCAGGACUGAGGCAUCACAUCCCUGCAAAGAUAAGCACAGAAAUCUGUUUGCAAUGUUUGUUCCAAAACAAUCAAAUAAAUAAUCAAUCAAGUCAUGUUUGUUUCUAAGAAUGACAAGAAAACAGAUAACAGAAGGUAAAAUAGAAACGUAAAAAGAUACAAAUCCGAUCCCCCAAAUAUCUCCUUCCAUGAAUCUUCCUUCCUUGUUUGAACACCAACUUUCUUACUCUCUUAAAUAAAAAAUUAUGAAAAUGGAUAAAUUUCCCUUAGUUUCUAUAAUAAUUAAGUGGAUUGUGCCUGAAAAGUGAAAAUAGAGGGUUUGAGAUGUAAAACAGCUAACUGCAGCCAUCUUGUCCAAUUCAAAGGAGUAAUCAAUUUGCAUGGAAACUCCCCUCUUUAUAUAAUCAAGAGCUUUCAUGCUAGAAACCCAAGUGUGUUUGUUCUUUAUACUUAGAGGCGGGUUUUCUGUGUGACCGUAUCUUCCAUUGCAGAAAAACUAGUGUCCUAUCUUUGUUUUUAUCUCAGAUUCUUAGUAAAAAGAGCAUCUCUCUCUUUUCCCCCCUCAUGUCCUGCUUGCUCAUUUGGGCACCCCAAUCACAAUCCAAAGGACUUUGAAUAUAGGAAAAGACACCAGCCUGAGAUGUUUUCAUCACAGCAAAAUGCAACACAGAAAUAGAACAGAUAGUUACUGCCCGCUAUACCUCAACAAAGCAGUCAUGGAAAAACAGUCGAAGACUGGCCGGGAUUGUGUUGAACGUCUGGCUAACCUUGACGGAUACCGAUUGUUUCACCAUAGCUUCCACGUUGGGACAACUCGAACUGUAAAAGUUCUCCGCCAAUUGUCCCUCUCCCUUCCCAACCCACUAGACACAACCCCAUCCCUGCCUUCAUUUUUCUCUCCAUUAACACACUCUAUCUCUUCGUAGUCCAUUUCUGGGGAUUAUAUAUAUAUAUAUAGUUCAGAUGAAGAGAAGGAAGCAAGGAGACUAGAGACUUUGGGAUUCUUCGUAUAAUUAGUCUAAGCCUUUGGUUUGCCAUUCAAAUGACCACAUGCAGUUAAGCAUAUAAAGAAAGUUAAAUUAAGCUUUUUUAUUACUGGGUUCAUUUCUUGUAUUGGGAUAAACACAACUUCCAUUCAACGCCUGAAUAACCUAUGGCUCUUAUUUCACCAUUGUUUUUAGGAUCAGGGAUAUUACUGGUUUCAGCUAGAAAAUGAGAAGGAAAAUGAAGAUUCAAAAGGGGAGAAAAAUUGCUCAGUUUUCAUUCAUUAAACUGUGUAAAAAACAGAGUACAAAAAAGGAGAUAUAUAUGAGUUCUAACUUUCUCUUGACCAACUAUACAACUCAGCAUAUCUAAAAAUGUAAAAAACAAAAAACACAAAGGGUAAUUUGUUAUGUAAGGACUGAGUUAUUUACAAAGAAUACCAUGCUACUCUAAUACUCUCUCUCGAGAUGGAGAAUGAAUAUUGUGAAUUCCCAUCUUGUAAAGAAGAAACUUGAACUAGUUUGAAAAAGUGGCUUGGUGAAAAGAUCUGCAAUCUGGUUUUGAGAAGAGACAUGGAGUGUUUUGAGAUAACUUGCUUGUAUUUUUUCUCGGACAAGAUGGCAAUCUAUCUCAAUGUGCUUGGUCCGCUCGUGAAACACCGGAUAGGCUGCAAUGUGUAGAGCUACUUCAUUAUUACAAUAUAAAAUUGUUGGUUGCUUGUGUUCAAUGCCAAAGUCUCAAAGAAGAGAUAAUAACCACACAAGUUCACAAGUCAUAUUUGCCAUUGUUCUAUAUUCGGCCUCAAAUGAUGAUUGUGAUACUGUAUUUUGCUUCUUAGAUUUUCAUGAAACCAAGAGUUCCCAAGAAAGAUGCAAUAUUCACUAAUAGAUCAUCUUGAAUCCUUGCAAGCUACCCAAUCCGCAUCAGCAAAGGCCUUGAAUUGAGUUGUUGAAGAGGAAGGAAAAUAGAGACCCUAUCCAACUGAUCCUUUGAUAUAUUGCAGAACUCAAUAAGCAGCUUGAAGAUGACUAGAUCUUGGAAUUAGCAAGGAACAGGCUGAGACGAUACACUAAGUAUGAGAGAUAAGCCUGAGUGUUUGUGAAGUAAAGAAGAUUAGCAAUCAGUUGUCUAUACAAUCUUGGGUCUUCAAGCAAUUCCCCAUCAUGCUGUGAAAGCUUAACAUUAGUUAAAAGAAGCUUAACUGUGACCAGCUUUGCCACGGGAGAGAAAGUAUCAAGAUAAUCAACACCCUCUUGCUGAGAAUCACCCUUGGCAACAAGCCGAGCUUUGUGUUGCUCAAGAGAGCCAUCAGUUGAGAAUUUGAGCUUAUAUACCCAUUUGCAGCCCACGAGAUGUUUACUAGGUGGGAGAGUAGUGAGAUACCAAGUUUCAUUCUGUUUAAGAGCCUGAAGUUCAGCUUGCAUUGCUUGGCGUCACUCAGGAAUAACAAUAACUUGCGAAAAUGAAGUAGGCUCAACAUGAGAAGAAAUGGAGAUGAUGAGACCAUGAUGAGAUGAAGAGAGUUUAGCAUAUCCAAGAACAUCAAAGAGUGGAUAAGUAGGAGAGGAAAAGUGAGAAGUAGUGGAAAAACAAUGGAAAUCCUUGAGAUAUGAGGAAGGUCAAGUCAUGCGGGCAGGGCGAGAAUGAGAUGGAGGAAGUGUGGGAGGUUCGAGAGAAGGAGAAAUAAGGCUAGGGUCAUGAGAUGGUGAAAAGGGUUGAUGAAAAGUAUGAGAAAAUGAAGAUGGAGGCACAAGUUAAAAAAAAAAAAAAAAAUUCCCAAAAGUGAGGGUGGAAUUGGUGGACUAGAAAGAGAAUAUUGAUUCAUGUAAGAUAACAUCUCGACUAAUGUAAAUUGCAUUGGUUGACAAGUUCAAGAGUUUAUAUCCCUUAUAACCAGGCAGGUAACCAAGAAAAAUAAAGGGAAUGACUCUAGGAGAAAACUUAGUGUGAUGUCGAUCAAGAGUUAAUCCAUAGCACAAACAACCAAAAGCACGUAAAUGAGAAUAUGAGGAAACCUUAUUAUAAAGAAUCUCAAAAGGUGUUUUAUUAGGCAAAACCGGAGAUGGAAUGCGAUUAAUGAGAUAUGUGGCAGUAAGAAUACAAUCACUCCAAUAGUACAAUGGAAUGCAAGACUAAAACAAGAGUGCACGUACAACACUAAGAAGAUGUUGAUGCUUUAGUUUAACCACAAAAUUCUAUUGAGAUGUAUCAACACAAGAAUGGAAAGAAAUUGUUCCCUUAUCCCGGAAAAAAUAAAAAAUAAAAAGAUAACUCAAGGGGUUUACAUACAGAUUUGAUAUUCACACCAAAUUGAGUUUGAAUCAGCUUGUAAAAAUUAAGAAAGAUGCUAAUGACAUUAGAUUUGGAACGCAACAAAUAAACCUAAAUAAAACGUGAAAAAUCAUCCACAAUAGUAAGAAAAUAACGGUAUCCUUCAUGGUAAGAUGAUGAAAAGAUCCCCAAAUAUCAAGAUGAAUCAACUCAAAAGGAGAAUGUGUAAUUGUAUUAGAAAUAGGAAAUGGUAACCGUUUCUGUUUAGCCAAAUGACAAACUUUACAAUGAGAAGGAUGAAUAACUAAAUCCUUGAGUUUUAUUACAUUUGUGUUAAGCCUAAUAAGAGAUGGGUGUUCUAAAUAGCUAUGCCAAAGUUGAUGAUCAGACUUUAUGGCAUUGUUAGAAAUAGCAGAGAUGAUGAAAAACAUGAGGAAAAGGUUGGUAGGAUCUAGAGAUAUGAGAUUUUCGAAGUGGCCACCCAUCUCAAUCAUCUUCCUUUGCAUAUGCUUAUAUUACGGUUCAAGGAAUUUUUGGAAUUUCAUUCCUAAGGGUUAAUAUAAAUACCUUUUAUGUAACCCUAAUUUUAACAUAGUGAAAAUCAUUUUUCCUUAUUCUCAUGGACGUAGGCAAUUAGCCAAACCACGUUAAAUCUUUGUGUUCUUCUUUCUUGUUUUUUUUUUCUAUUUUUCGCCAUUAAUUAUUGCACGGAUUCCAACAUGUGUAGCACUGAUGCCAAGUACCUAGGAAUUGGAAGGAAUCAAGUUAUGAGAAAAGGGAGAUAAAAAGGAAUAUUUACCAAGAAAAUUUGAGAGUAAAGGGGAUUCCCACUCUUAUGAUUCUAGAGUGGUAGUCGUGGUUCGAUGCAGCUGUGAACUCAACAAAGCAAUAAGUUGUUGACAUUGGUUGAAGAAAAUAACACCCAAUGUUGCAUAUGAUGAAGUGAGCCUGUAUCACCGGAUACAACAAAAGUGGUUUGAUGGGCUUGAGCUUGACCCGUUGAAUUCUUCGAUCAAGGUUUGUAUCAUGGGGGAUACCCAUGAAGCUUGUAACACUUGUCCAUUGUAUUUCCUUGAAGACCAUAAUAGACACACUGAGGAUGCUCUAGCUUUCCUUUAGAAGGAACAUUGCUAAUAUGAGCAUUUACUCAAGCUGAAUUGUAAUCACCAAGAACUAGAAGAUCCCCAAAAGAUGACGAUCCAUAAUUGAUAUUCCGAUGUCAUUCCUCUUGAAUCACAAGUGCAAAAACUUUUGUAAGAGAUGGAAAAGGCUUCAUCAUCAAAAUUUGACUCUGGGUCUGGGCAUAAGAAUCAUUUAACCCCAUUAAAAAUUGGAUUACAUAUUCCUGCUAUUGAUAGUCUGACCAAGCUUGCAUUCCACCACAAUGGCAAAUAGGUAGGGGUUGAAAAUUCUUAAGCUCUUCCCAAAUGAUCUUGAAUUGUGUAUAAUAAGCAUUAAUACCAAGGGCUCCUUGCUACAACGCAAUAAGUUGCUUCAUAAGUUAGAAGAUGUGAGGGGCAUUACUCUGGCGGAAAUGAUCGCGUAGAUCUGUUUAGAUCUCAUGGGCAUUGCCGAUGUACAUAAUGCUCUCAACAAUUUCUUUGGAAACAAAAUUCAAGAGCCAAGAAAUUACCAUGCUAUUGCAGCGGUUCCAAGCAUUGAAAAGAAGAUCGUCUGAGGUAAGUCGAGAAAUGCAACCAUCGAUGAAUCCCACCUUGUUCUUUGUCGUCAACCCCAUCAUCAUAACUCUACUCCAGUUAUUGUAAUUGCUUCCAGAUAAAUGGUGUGAAACGAGGAUGAGCCUAGGAUGAUCUCCAUUAUGGAGAUAAAAUGGACUACUAGAAUCAUCCAUUGGCAAUGGGUCUGAGGAACCAACCACAGGGUGGGCAUAUGUCGAUUGGUUGCCUUGAGCCAUUAGGUGAAGAAGAAGAUGGAAACAACGAUGAGCAAAAAGGAAAGCUCUAAUACCAUAUUACUAGUUUUAGCUAGAAAAUAAGAAGGAAAAUGAAAAUUCAAAAAAAGAGAAAAUUUACUUAGUUAUCAUUCAUUGAACUGUAUAAAAACAUAAAGUUAUGUUUGGUUCCUGGAAAAUACUAAGAAAAGAAAAAAAAAAUACAAAGGGAAAUGAUUUUUUCAUAUUUGAUUGUCAUAUGAAAAAUAUAAAAGAAAACUAAAUAUAAUUAAAACUAAUUAAAAACUUAUGUAUUUUUAAAUUAUUUAAUCUUUAUAUUAUGAGUUAAAAUAAAUAAAAUGAGUUUAAAGUAACAAAAAAAUAAUAAUUUAUCAACUUUUAAUCUAUUUUUUUUUUAUUGUCUUUCACUUUUUUUUUCCUUCUACUUUUCCUUUAUAUUUUCUUUCCCUUGCAUUUUUCUUCAAAUUUUGUGGAACCAAACAUAGCCUAAUACAAAUAUAUAUAUGAGUUAUGGAACUUUCUCCCAACCAACUAUACAAUUCAGCAUAUCUAAAAAUAUAAAAAACACAGAACACAAAGGGUAAUUUGUUAUGCAAGGACGGAGUUAUUUACAAAGAAUACUUAGGGAAUCAAAAUGUCUAUAUUUUUGUCCUGUCUUACAAGUCACGUCACCUUGCUGCAAGGUUAUCUCGUUUGCAAUUUUUAUACUCUUAAGAGAUAACGAAACUUUCCACUUCUGCAUGCGCGUGGUUGGGCAUCUGUCACUGUCAUGUAACCUUACCCAUUCAAUAAAAUAUAGCCGCUUCUCAUCAUCCUCGCCAUCCCACGAGCUUCUUACUUUCAAAAUUUCUCCUCGUAACUAGAAUAGUAUUCAGAAGGCUUAAGUACGCCGCUUGUCUGGGAUGCAUCUUUUUGAUUUUUCAAUUCAAACUGUUCCUUGAAGUGAAGAAACUAUACUGAUGGAGAUGAAAAAACCUAUAAAUGAGGCAGCAAAGCUUGCCAGCUGUUUGUUUGAUCGAUAGUUCAAUUUGUAGUUGUUUCCAUCGGUUCUAUAGAUGGCGAGGUUAGGUAGGUGUUGCUUCCUUUUUUUUUCCUUGUUUAGACAUGUGAAAAUGACUUAAUAAAAAAAAAAAUCAAAAGUCUAAAUGCCACGUAGUGUUCACAUGGGAAAUGCUCCAUUUGAUCCAUAUUACUUGGUUUUUUCAAUGACAUGUGAAUGUGUAUUUGACGAGAGAAGAGGGGUGGCUCUACUGGCUAUGGUAAGUUGAUCGCUAACCAGCCACACCAGACCCUCUUUCAUCAGCAUACUUAGUUUUUCGAAUUACUCUUCAUUUGUUUCUCUUUAAUAGCCAAAUUGGUUCAAUUGUCUAAAAAUGAAUCAAAUUCCAGAUAUGACUUGGCACAAAAAUCACCUCAAUUGAUAUCAUUCCAGGGGAUUCCCAAAUGACUCUCUGUAUUUCUUGAUUUGCUUACAUUAUGAGAGUAGUUACAGAAAUUAAGUUGUACAGUAAGCAUCAACUGGUAGGUUAUGAUCAUUAUGACUCUCUAGGCUGUGAAAAUCUAAACAACAGCAUGUAAAAUAUUGUCUUCGAAAUCUAUUUACAGCCCAAAUAAAAAAAGAAAAUUGCAAAUCUUCAUUGUUGUAAGUCUUCUUAUGAAAGAAUAUGAACAUUACAAGGAUGAAAAAACAAGGAGUUCACAUACAGAGGCAAUCAGAAAACAGAGUAAAUGCAGGGGGCUAUGGAAAAAAAAUUGAACUGUCUUGACUAUAUUGACAAACUGUAGAUAACAUAUCGGUAAGGCAAACUGGAUAAUGAGGAAUUCCUUACAGAAUUUGUUGCUGAGACAUUGCCUUCAUGAAUUAAAGGCUGUGCAAUCCUUCCUAAUCUCUCCUUGGUCACCAGUUUUGACGCCAACUCUCCCAAGCUUCCUCAUUGCGGUGAUGAAAGCUCCAUUGAACUCACCUGGGCUGUUGGCAAAAUCAGUGACUGUAGGCUGAGAUGAAGGGUCACUGAAGAGCGCCUCAUCUGAAGUGAACAAACCCUUUCCUGCCACCAGAUUCUGGUAAUACUCAUUGUCGAAUGUUCGUGGGGUUACAGGAUCCAUGUCAAUUGCUAUGCUGGGAUCCACAUUCUGAGGGCAGCCCGACAUUAGCUGCUUGGCGUAGUCUGAGUCUAGAGAAGGGUCCACCUGGGAGGAUGAGGAGAAUGAAUAUAGGCGGUUGGCAAAGCGGCUGCAGUGGGAGAAGCCUACAGUGUGUGCUCCAGACAAUGCUAUCAUGUCAAGCUGGCUAAGGUUGUGUCUUGCAAACAUGGAGUUGAGUUGGUCAAGAUCAAAGGAGGGUUCUGGCAGGUUUCCUGCAACCCGAGAUGCUUGAGAGAUAAGGCCAUCACGACGACCCAAUUCUACACUGAAUGAAGGGCCUCCAGCCUGAGAGUUUUCGGAAUGAGUUUUUGGUUUAAAAAAGAAAAAGAAAAAAGGGAAACACUUUCAGUAACUGCUAAUGAGGUCGUGCAUCCUUACCAGGACUACAACAUCUCUGGCAGCUAGAGCCAGAAUAUCAGCACAAGAGACUAUCCCUGGGCAUGCUGCUUCUACUGAUUGCUUAGCUUUGAUUACAGUGUCAAACCCGUCUCCUGCAAGCGAGAGAUUAUCAUCUGAAUCCUUCUCUGCAUCCCCAUUUGGUGAUGAAAUCAGGACUGAGGCAUCACAUCCCUGCAAAGAUAAUGUUUGAAAUGUUUUUUCAUAUUUUGCUUAAUUUCUGGUGUUGGGUGUUCCAUUUUCAAAUGUAAAAUGAAUCAAUAGUUAUGUUUGGUUCUAAGAAUGAUGAGAAAAGAGAUAAUUAAAAAAAAUUGGAAGGUAAAAGAAUGCAAAUCCGAUCCCCCAAAUUUCUCCUUCCAUGAAUCUUCCUUCCUUGUUUGAAUACCAACUUUGUUUGUCUCUCAAAUAAGAAAAUUUUAAAAAUGUCUAAAAUUUCUCUUAAUUUCUAUAAUAAUUAAAUGGAUUGUGCCUGACAAGAGAAAACAAAGGGGUUGAGAUGUAGAGCUGACUGCAGCCAUCUUGUCCAAUUCAAAGGAGGAAUCAAUUUGCAUUGAAACUUGGCGCCUUGUAUAAAGAAACUCAAGGGUGUGUUUGUCCUUUACAUUUAAUGGCGUUGUGCCAUUUUUCUUCACUGCACAUCGAGUAACAAUGAACUUGAGAAUCUUAGUCUUUGAGCCAGUUGACUUUUUCUCAAGUUCUAUUGACCAAAUUGUGCAAGAGUUAGAGGCGGGUUUUUUUUUUCCGAUGUGACCACAUCUUCCAUUGCAGAAAAACAAGAUUCUUACUAGAAGGAACAUCUCUCUUUUCUCCCUCAUCUGCGCUUGCUCAUUUGAGCACCCCAUAAUCACAAUCCAAGGGACUUGUAUAUAGGAAAAAACACCAGCGUGAGACGUUUUCAUCGGACGUGGACGAUCACACCAAUAUACAAAACAAAGAAUAAAAGAAAAAAACAGAAAAAGUUAUUGCCCACAAUACCUCAACAAAGCAGUCAUGGAAAAACAGUCGAAGAGUAGCCGGGAUUGUCGUGAACGUCUGACUAAACUUGGUGGAAACCUCUUGUUUCACUAUAGCUUCCACGUUGGGACAGCUCGAACUGUAAAAGUUCUCCGCCAAUUGUCCCUCUCCCUGCCCCACCAUCAGCAGAACCAUCACUAAACACAACCUCCUCCAUGCCUGCAUUUUUCUCAUCUCCAUCAACACACCUCUCUUCCUCUCCAUGGUCCAUUGCUGGCUAUUAUAUACAUAUAUAUAUAAAACUCAGAUGAAGACAAGAAAUGAGCGAGCCUAGCAACUUUGAAUCGAUCCUUUGUGUACUUGGUCUAAGCCUUUGGUUUACCAUUGAAAUUACCACAGUUGAACAUGUAAAGAAAGUGAAAUAAAGCUUUUUUAUUACUGGGUUCAUUUAUAAUAUUGAGAUAAAUACAACUUUAUCUAACACCUGAAUAACUAUGGCUCUUACAUACAAUUGCUUUUAGGAUCAGAGAGUUGAAGUGUCUCUAUCUUACGUCUCAAGUCCCCACACCAUCCGAAGGUUACAUACGAAAAUUUCCACUUCCGCAUGCGCGUGGUAGGGCAUCGGUCAUUGUCAUCUUGGUCAUCCCGCUGGCUUCUUAUUUUCAAAGUUUCUCCUAACAUAUCAUUCAGAAGGCAUAAAUUAUAUCAAUGGAGAUGAUGUAACCUAUAAAUGUAGCAGGAAAUUGCCAGUUGUUUGUUUGAUUAAUUGUUCAAUUUCUAGUUGUUUCAAUGGGUUCUACCAGAUGGAGUUGAGGUUAGGUAGAGGCGCUCCCUUUCUUUUCUUGUUUAGACUAGACACGUGAAAACGACUAAGUAAAAAACUCGUUUGAGUAGUGCUCACAUGGGAAAUGCUUCAUUUGAGCCGUAAUAACUUGGUCUUUUUCAAUGCUCUUGGUGGCACAUAGAUAACUGCCAUAGCCAGAGAAGAGAAGUCGGGUGGUCCUUUUCCCUUCUAGCAACAGUAAGUUGACAAUCAUCCAUACCCACACCAAACCCCUUUUUCAUCAUCCUAUUCAGUUUCUCCGCCAUAACCAAAUUGGUGCAACUGCCCAAAGCCAUAACAUUGCUCUUUCACCAAACGUUCACCAAAUGGUUCGAAUUCCACAUAUGACUUGGUACAGACGGGAUUAAGUUGGAAAUAUCAAUGCAAACAGACCCUGAUCGAUAUUCUUGACCUAGCAAUUACAUCGAGACACUAUCUUAAUAACCUACUCAUUUUAUUCUUAUAGUAACGCCGCCCGACCGCCGUCCAAUUUAAAAUUCAUAAGCUCCUGGCAUCAGGGAUAACUGAUUACUUUUACUAAACACAAAAAAAUAUAUACAUUUUGUAGUAUAUCAUAUGCACCAAAGAAAAACAUUAAAAAUUAAAUUUUUUUAAUUAAUUAUACAGAUGACAUAAAAAUUGUCAAUGUAGAAUUAACUCCCUCAAAUUAAAAAAGACGAAAUCGUGUGUAACAUAAACCCGAUCAAAGGCUCACAAAUGGAAGUUGUAAUUAAUUGAAAUUUAUUUAUUUGAUGAGAUAGAUGUAAUCAUUAUUCUAACAAGAGGAGUAGCCAGGAAUUUGUCCCAGAUGACAGACAUUAAAAAUUUAUUUUAAAGACCAAAUAUAACAAAAAUCAUGAUGUUCAAACCUAUGGUAGGCUUGCUUCACUUGUCAGACAUGCACAUAGUCAACGUGGCUCUCUCCCGUAUUUUAUCUCUAAGGACUAUCUCCGCGAGUCUUUUAAAAGUAGAGAAAAUAUUUUUAGGGAAAAGUGAGUUUUCUUCCUAAUAUAAAAAUAUAUAAUUUUUUUUUUAAAUUAAUAUUAUUUUUUUAAUUUAAAAGAAUUUAAAAUAUAUGUAAUUUUUUUAUGAAUCAUCUAAUUAUUUCCUAAUUUGCUCUUUUUACUUACCAUGUUACCAACAUUAAUUGAUAAUUAUAGUUCUUUAAUAUUUUUCGAGUGAAUGACAUUUUAAACAUUAUCUCGACAAGACUAGGCCACGAUGACUAUUCACAAAAACAAAUCCGACCAAGGAACAUCUUUCGAAUUAGGGUUAAAAGUGUAAGUAGCUUUGUAUGUGCCCUUUCUUAUUGGUUUGAAUACUUUAACACAAGACCAUAAUCAAAGGGUCAAUGGGUAUUCACGUCAUUAACUCUAUAUUGAUGAAACAUUUUCCUUGACGGGAAAUGAAUGAAGUGGCUGAAAGGAGCGUUAAAGAUUGAUCUCCAUGUAAAUAUUUUCCUUCCUUUUAUUAUUAUUAUAAUUAUAUUAUUAUUAUUUUAUUUGUGAUUUUUUUUAUUACUCUUAAUGUUCACACUUUUCAAAUUACCUCACUUUUGCUAUGUAUUAGUUUUUUUGAGAGAAAAAAUUUCAAAUAAUUAUUGUCAAAUUGAUAUUGAUGACAUGAUAAAUAAAAUAAACAUUUUAGGAUAUAAUUAGAGAACUCAUUAAAAAUGCACAUAUUUCAAAUUACUUUUAAAUAAUAUUGAUUUAAAAUUUUUGAGAUUUUUUUUUUCAUAUAUUUUCAUAUUAAUGAAUCAAAACCCACUUUUCUCAUUUUUUUUAUGUACAAAAUAAUUAUUUAGCCAACUUUAAAUUUCCCCAAUAUUAUCUCAUAUUUAUUUAAGAUUCCAAGCCUAAAUUAAAAUCACUAUUGAAGAUUUUGGAAUAUUAAAGUUAAAAACAAUUGUUUUAAUGUGAAACAUUCUACUAAAAUGCUUGGCUGGGUGUUUGCAAAAGGAGAAUCAAGGGGUGAAUUAAGAAUUGCACUUACGUCAUCAAAUGAAUAAAAUUUCAAUUUAAUUUGUACCAAAUUUCGUAUACAUUUCUCCAACUAGAGUGAUCUUACUAAAAUUCGUGUCCUUCAAUAAGAUUUUAUUAAUCUUUCCCUCAAAAUUUCCGAAACCAAACUUACACUUAAGUUUAUAAAAAUUUCUAUUCAAUUUGAUACACACGUCAACAUUAUUCGAACUUGGGCCUCAUUUUCCUUUUUGGUCUGAAGUCUUAAUAGGCUUCAAAUGUUCAUAUACCAUUUGCUUUUUUGAAUUUAUUUAUUUAUUUUUACUUCUUUUUUUUUUUAAAUUUCUAGGCACUUAUAGUAAAAUAAGAAUUCAUUUAUAGUAAAACAAUAAAAGAAUCAAUGAAAAUUUUGAAUUCAAUGUAAUGUUUGGAAACUAUUCUUAAAAGUAAUUUUAUAUUAUUUAUAAUAAAAAAUUAAUUUUAAAAACUGUUUGAUAAUUUUUAUUUUUUGAAAAUUUAUUGUAAAAUAUGUUGUUUUUAAAAAUAAAUUUGAGGUGUCUUAAGUAUAUUUUUAGAAUAUUGAGAAAUAAUUAAAAAAAUAGAGAAUCCUUUCAAAACUUUUACAUUUGUAAAUAAAUGUAUAAUAAUUUCCUAGAACAAUAAGAUUGAGAAUUUUUUUUUUAUAUAUUUUAUGUUUAAAUAAAAUUUUAUGUUAAAAAUAAUUGAAAAAUAUUUUUAUAAAAUAUUUUUAACAACCAUUUAAAAAUUUUAUUUUUCGAAAAUGUUUUUCAAAAACAUUAACAAAUAGCCUUUGAACCCAAAAGCAAAAAGGUCUGCAAAUAUUACAUUAAAAACAAAAGAUAAUUGGGUAAUUUGAAAAUUUAACCCUUCAACUAUUUUUUAUCUUAUUUUGAUAAAAAUAUUCUCAUUUUUUCUUUAUAAAUGUAAGUAUUUUUUUAAAAUAUAUAUGUAAUCAGAGACAUACAUAUAUAAAAUGAGUUAUUUUUCAAACAAAAAUAUGAAAGGGUUAAAUAAAAAAAUAAUAGAUUGGAAGUUUAAAAAUCCACCCAAAAGCGGGGCCAAGCUCGUGUCACCUGAAGGCCCACAUUCGACCUUUUGGCCCAAAUUCAAAUCCCCCCAAACUGCCUAAACCAAUUCAAGCGUCUCUCUUACAGAAAUCAGCAGGGACGUCAGACAUGGAGGUGGUUAUGGAAGAAAGCCAAUUAGGGUUUCCGUACUGGAGCUCAGUUCGACGGAGAUUCGGCCCAGAAUCUCCUUUCUUUACUUCCGGAAACAUUGAGAGAGAACUUCUCGCCAAACAGGUCCCUUUUCUUUUAUUUUCCUUUUCUUUCUGGUUAUUUUCGACUGUCUGUGACCUUUUAACUUUCUAUUUUUAGUGUAAGUUUUGUAGAAUGUGAAACUUAUUUCUGAUUCUGGUGUUUUGCACCUUGUAUUAUAACCUUUCGACUGAUAAGAUUAUGCGAGUAUUCGUGUGACUGUUUAUACGUUUUUAUGGUACUCGGAUUGCUUAGUUAAGUUUCAAUUAGGUUUUAAAUUUUCUAUUUCAGAAUGGACAUUUGAAUUUCUCAUAGAGCUCUUAAAUUGGCCUGAAAUACCUCUUUUAUCUAGAGCUUUACUAGAUUCCAAUGUUUUUCAUGGUGUAUUUUAUAUGGAGGUGAAAUUGGAUUUCCAUUCUCCGAAUUUUAUUUUUUCCAAUUUUUUCUAAUAAUUUCUUGCAGUAGUUUGCCUUUAUUGUGAUUAUUGUAGAGAGCAUGCGUAUUAUUUUUUAAUUUUUUAUUUUUCUUCAUGAUUUCCUUUUAUGCUAUUCUGGAAAAUUUUGCAUGAUGAUGCUGAGAAAAGAAUGCUUGAUUAAUUUUUUGUUCUAAUUUUUCCUAGGUUGCAUUGGACUUAACUGAAGAUGAAAAGCAACAUCUUCAGAAUUUGGAAGAUGAAGAAGGCAGGUAUUAAUAGAUGUUAUCUUCACUUUUGGCUUAUUCUGUAAUUUACUAUAAGUACUGUUUGUGAAAUUCUUCUUUCACUGUUAGAAGUACCUUGAACCGUCUAUUAAUGGUUGUGUCAGAAAGGGUGUCAUAAACUUUCCUUAUGUUUGGUUCUUGGAAAGUAAUAAGGAAAGGAAAGGAAAAAAUGCUAGUGAAAAUGGUUUUCUCAUGUUUGGGUACCAUGAGAAAAGAUCAAGGAAAAAAAAAACCAAAGAAAAGGGUUGGGGUGGUGGUGGUGUGCAUUUUCCUUAACAAAAAGUGAGGAAAGUUAGUGGAAAUUGCAUUCUUUAGCAAUUUAAUUUUCUUUCCCUCAACUUUUCAAUGGGCAAUCAAAUAAAAGAAAACUUUUAUAAUUUUUUCUUAUAUUUCUCUGCUCUAUUUUUUUCAUUAAAACUUUCCAGAAACAAAACAUGGCCUUAGCUUAUAUGGUUAGAAGUCAAAUUUAGCUGUAACAGUUAUGAUAUUGAGAAGCUACAGACUGCUGAUCUCGUGUGGUGGUUCCAAACAUUUAUUCAUGUUAUGGAUUUGUUAAAGGUUGUGUUAAAAAAUAUUUCAUGCUUCAUAGGUGUUCUAUCCUGUUUGUAUUUCUGGAAUCUAGCCACCUUUCAUAAAAUUCAUUUUCAUGUUAGUGAAAGAUAUUUCUUGUGCUUGUAUAUCUAUUAUUCCAUCCAUUGUUAGACAAAAGUGUAUGACAUACAGUAUUCUGGUACUGUAUUAAUGGAAUACUAUAAUCAAAAUACCAACACUAGUUUGUUUAAGUAUCUAACUCUUCUAUCAUGCUUCAAUAUUUUUUUCUCCCUUUUAACAUCAUUGCCUUUAUUUCUUCUGGUCUCCUGUAUCCCCUUGACAUUUAUGCUAUUUUGGGAUAAAUUGAAUGGUGGAAAGUGGUAUAGGACUUGUUAGAAUGUACCAAGAUAUUUGUGGAGACCUGAGCUCUCAAAACUUUCCUGAGGUUAGAAGGGAGUAAAGAGUUUAGAAUCUUUCAAGUUUAAGCUUGAUCCCUGAUGAUCAUUAGGCUAAUGAAAGAGAGGAACUCUGUUAAUGGAAUUUAAAUUACUCAAUCUUAUCCCUGGAGGUGUCUUCCAAAAAGUCUCAUGAGCAACAAACUGUGGCUGCUCAAGAUGUAGACAGGUGGGCUUAUCAAGCAGCAUGCCUCCUCUUCAAUGUUCUUAAUCGCUUAAGUCAUGUGAACUAAUAACCCCAAUAUUUGUAUAUGCAGUGUCACUAUAUUGUGUCAACAAUUCUUAAAUUCGCCAAAAAAAUAAAAAUAAAUUCAAAUAUCUAUCUUUGGGUAAUUUUGCAUUAUUAAUAAUAGGUCACUGGCCCUUUUCCUAUUGGGUAAUGAAGUCUCUAAGUAAAAAUUGGGGACGUUACAGAUGCUACCCUGUUGUUUGCAACAUAGCCCCCCACCUCUCCCCCUCUCCCUCCCCCUCCACUCUUUUUUUUCCUUUCUUUUUCUUAUGAUACAAUCAAUAUAUGCCAUUUGAGGAUUUUCUGUAAUUUUUAAGAGGGUUCAGGGUGUUGUAUAAAGGGGCCUUCAUAAAUUGACUAAGCAGUCUGUAUUUGCCAGACAUCAGCAUUGUAGUUAAAUGUGAUCUCUAUUACUGGGGUGGGAACAAAGACAUUCAUAUUUUACCUACUGCCCUUGACAUUACAAUGUGAGUGGCGUUUUAGUUCGGCAGGGACUUCAUCUGGUUAGAACAUCUAUUUUGAUUGUGAAUCUUUUAUAACAUUCUCUCUCAAACUUGUUGCAUGUAUAAAAAGUGAGGAUCUACAUAAGAUGGGACCUGAGGCCAUAUAGCUUUUAAUAUGGAUGCCCCA